GACGAACGCUGGCGGCGUGCUUAACACAUGCAAGUCGAACGAAAAGAGGGAAAGAGCUUGCUCUUUCCGGAAUUGAGUGGCAAACGGGUGAGUAGCACGUAAACAACCUGCCUUCAGGAUGGGGACAACAGACGGAAACGACUGCUAAUACCGAAUAAGUUCCAAGGGCCGCAUGGCCCAUGGAAGAAAAGGUGGCCUCUACCUGUAAGCUAUCGCCUGAAGAGGGGUUUGCGUCUGAUUAGCUGGUUGGAGGGGUAACGGCCCACCAAGGCGACGAUCAGUAGCCGGUCUGAGAGGAUGAACGGCCACACUGGAAUUGAGACACGGUCCAGACUCCUACGGGAGGCAGCAGUGGGGAAUCUUCCGCAAUGGGCGAAAGCCUGACGGAGCAACGCCGCGUGAGUGAUGACGGCCUUCGGGUUGUAAAACUCUGUGAUCCGGGACGAAAAGGCAGAGUGCGAAGAACAAACUGCAUUGACGGUACCGGAAAAGCAAGCCACGGCUAACUACGUG
rnacentral:rRNA from 1 species